UACGGGGGGGGCAAGCGUUGUUCGGAAUUACUGGGCGUAAAGGGCUCGUAGGCGGCCAACUAAGUCAGACGUGAAAUCCCUCGGCUUAACCGGGGAACUGCGUCUGAUACUGGAUGGCUUGAGGUUGGGAGAGGGAUGCGGAAUUCCAGGUGUAGCGGUGAAAUGCGUAGAGAUCCGGAGGAACCCCAGAGGCGAAGGCGGCCACCUGGCCCACGACUGACGCUCAUACACGACAGCAUGGGGAGCGAACGGG
rnacentral:rRNA from 1 species